CUAGGAUAGUUUAACAAAACACUAGGCUGUGACCCUAACAAUAGAACUUAUGCUCUUCCUAGCC
rnacentral:tRNA from 1 species